rnacentral:rRNA from 1 species
UACGGAGGGUGCAAGCGUUAUCCGGAUUUAUUGGGUUUAAAGGGUACGUAGGCGGCAGAGUAAGUCAGUGGUGAAAGCCAACAGCUCAACUGUUGAACUGCCAUUGAUACUGCUUUGCUUGAGUACAGUCGAGGUAGGCGGAAUUCCACAUGUAGUGGUGAAAUGCAUAGAUAUGUGGAGGAACGCCGAUAACGAAGGUAGCUUACUAGGCUGUUACUGACGCUGAGGUACGAAAGCGUGGGGAGCGAACGGG